GACGAACGCUGGCGGCGUGCUUAACACAUGCAAGUCGAGCGGUAAGGCCCUUUCGGGGGUACGACGAGCGGCGAACGGGUGAGUAACACGUGGGUGACCUGCCCUCAGCUCUGGGAUAAGCCUGGGAAACUGGGUCUAAUACUGGAUAUGACUCCACGGUGCAUGUCGUGGGGUGGAAAGCCUUGUGCGGCUGAGGAUGGGCCCGCGGCCUAUCAGCUUGUUGGUGGGGUGANGGCCUACCAAGGCGACGACGGGUAGCCGGCCUGAGAGGGCGACCGGCCACACUGGGACUGAGACACGGCCCAGACUCCUACGGGAGGCAGCAGUGGGGAAUCUUGCGCAAUGGGCGAAAGCCUGACGCAGCGACGCCGCGUGAGGGAUGACGGCC
rnacentral:rRNA from 1 species